rnacentral:rRNA from 1 species
UACGGAGGGUGCGAGCGUUGUCCGGAAUCACUGGGCGUAAAGGGCGCGUAGGCGGCUGGGGAAGUCGGCGGUGAAAGCCCGGAGCUCAACUCCGGGUCGGCCGUCGAGACUCCUCGGCUCGAGCUCACUAGAGGCAGAUGGAAUUCCGGGUGUAGCGGUGGAAUGCGUAGAGAUCCGGAGGAACACCGACGGCGUAGGCAGCGCCCUGGACGACACCUGACGCUGAGGCACGAAAGCGUGGGGAUCAAACAGG